rnacentral:tRNA from 1 species
GAGAAAUUAGUUAAUUAAUAACAUUAGAUUGUCAAGCUAAAAUUAUCAAUAAAGAUAUUUCUCU